CCCCGCACAAGCAGCGGAGCGUGUGGUUUAAUUCGAUGCUACACGAAGAACCUUACCAGGGUUUGACAUGCAAGUGGUAGGAAGCCGAAAGGUGACCGACCCUUCGGGGAGCCUAUACAGGUGUUGCAUGGCUGUCGUCAGCUCGUGUCGUGAGAUGUUCGGUUAAGUCCGCUAACGAGCGCAACCCUCGUCGUAUGUUAUAUGUGUCAUACGAGACUGCCGGUAAAAAGCCGGAGGAAGGUGAGGAUGAUGUCAAGUCAGCAUGACCUUUAUAUCCAGGGCUACACACACGCUACAAUGGUCUGUACAAUGGGUAGCCAAGCCGCGAGGCGGAGCCAAUCCUGAAAGCAGGCCUCAGUUCAGAUUGCAGUCUGCAACUCGACUGCAUGAAGCCGGAGUUGCUAGUAACCGCAGGUCAGCAAUACUGCGGUGAAUACGUUCCCGGGGCUU
rnacentral:rRNA from 1 species